UUCUUCUUUUUUUUCUUUUUCUUCUUUUUGUUGUUGUUGAGAUGGUUUAAUUUGUUGAUAUUUUUUUGAAUGGGGAGAGAGUUUGGGGAGGAGGGGAGAGAGAUAGACAGAAGAGAGAAGGGAAGAGGGAGAAGUUGAAGAAUGUAGUAUUUGAUGAGAGGAAGAACAAGAGGAGCAGAAAAAACAAGUU
rnacentral:ribozyme from 13 species